AGAUAAAAAUGGCAUGGACAUGAUACGGUGUCAGAUGCUGAUCGACUUUGUCAUAAUUAACUCAUACUAAGCAACAACAACAAUAACAACUGCUGAAGAAUGUUCCAGUCUGAGAGUUGGACACAAUUGUAUCUGUAUAAGUUGUGAAAUAUCUUUGGGAAGGCACUCAGGAAGACAAAAUUACAGGCCAGAGACUUAUGGAAAGAAUUGAAAGUGAUAUUAUAUGUAUAGAAAAAGAAAUGUCUCCGAGACAGAUUUCUGUUGGAUGCUCGUGCAUGUCUUGUUUGCAGGAUGAACUCACCUCAAAAGCAUUAAUCUUUCGAACGCCGGAACGCGGAUCUCGACCAGACACAAUGUAAAAUCUAUUGUGUCUGGUAUCUCGGCAUAUGAGAGGUUAAUAU